CGCGCUGUAAACGAUGGAUACUAGGUGUGGGAGGUAUCGACCCCUUCUGUGCCGGAGUUAACGCAAUAAGUAUCCCGCCUGGGGACUACGGUCGCAAGACUAAAACUCAAAGGAAUUGACGGGGGCCCGCACAAGCGGUGGAGCAUGUGGUUUAAUUCGACGCAACGCGAAGAACCUUACCAGGAUUUGACAUCCUCUGCUAGCGCAAGAGAUUGCGUUUUUAAUCUUCGGAUUAACAGAGAGACAGGUGG
rnacentral:rRNA from 1 species